AAAGCGACCUCAGCUYCAUGGCGGGGCUACCCGCUGAGUUUAAAGCAUAUCAAUAAGCGGAGGAAAAGAAAACUAACAAGGAUUCCCCU
rnacentral:rRNA from 1 species